GCUGCUAUUGAUGCUGAUCCCUUGUUCUCGUUUAUUAGCAUUAGGUCCCGCAGUAGGUAACUCAUUUCUUUACGUAAGAAAUCUUUAAAAACGAAAAAACAAAUUCACUGUUCACUUCUUUUGAUUUAUCAACAACAAUAUUUACAGUAAAAAUUACGUAUGUGAAAUUAUAGAAUAAUAUAUCCAUAAUUUAUUGUGGAGAGGCCUGGACACAAAUAUGGAUCCACGUAGAACCGAACCGAACCGAACCGAAAUUGAUGGGUACGGUUCGGUUCCGAUUCUAGUGAAAAUAUCGAUUGGAUCUUAAAUCAAAACCAUGGGUAUCGGUUCGGUUCGGGUAAGAACCGAUGUCCAUUCGGGUACCCAAAAAAUAUAGCACAUUAACCUAUAUUUAUAUAACCCAAAGUCUCAAACUCAUCUAGACAUAAACCUAGCUACCCAAGCCUAACAAUCAACCAUAUAUCUCUCUUAGCCUCUUACUGUAUAUAUUUCUCUGAAACCUAAAGAGAAACCCUAGUUUGUUCUCUCUUUCACAAAGAAGGAGACGCCGCAGACAACAACUCUCUCUUUCGAAUCAUUGCAAAUCAAAGACAAAGCUUCUUUUGGUGUCUUUAAAACUUGUGGUUUGUGGUAUUUUUGAAACUUUGGGUGUCUUUUGACUUAAUACUUUCCAAGUUUCAACUAUUUUUUGAAUUUGUAAUGGUAUGAUGACUAAUAUGUGAUGUUGCAUUGCAUACUUGCAUAAUUGCAUUUGAAUUUUUCAUUAUAAUUCUAUUGUUUUUUCGGUUCCAAAAAUAUCCGAAACAGUUUGGUUCCUAUUCGGUUCCAAAAUUUAUUACCCGAACCGAACCGAACCGAAUAGGAACCGAACCAGAACCGAACCGAUAUUGAUUUGGUUCCAAUAUGAUUCCUAAAUCUCAGAACCAAAAUACUUGGAACCGAAUGGUUCGGUUAUCCAAACGCCCAGGCCUAGUGGAGACGUCUAACUAGAAUGACUUACAGUUUUUACGAGAAAAAAAACAUAUAACCUUUUUAUCUUAGUUAUUUACAGUUUUUAUGAGAAAAAAAAAACAUAUAAAUAAAAAGUUUUUAAGUUCUUAUAAUUUUUAUUCUAGAUUUAAAUUCAAGUACACAGAGUGAAAAGUAAUUUAAAAUAUAUUUCCCAAAGUUAGCUAUUCCACAUGUUUAUAGAUGUGUUGAAGUGAAUGCGGUUUUGGUCCUUUUAAUUUUAUCUAAUAAUUUUACAACUGUCUUAGAGUUUCAUUUACUUUCGGUUCUUUGUCGAUUUCUCGUUUAUUAGCAUUCUUUACCGACAAAAAAAAAGCAUAAUAGUGUAUUCUUUGUUCACUUCUUUUUAUUUAUCAACAAAAACUUUAGAAAAAAAAAACAUGUAACCUUUUUUAUUUUAAUUAUUUACGAACAUAUAUCAUAGUCACUGCUGAAGAUGCAACUUCUGAAUGAGUUUCUAUACUAAGUCAAAGUACCUCAAGAAGUAGUCCAAAAGAACAGAGCAACGUGGAACAAGCUUAUAGAAAUUAGUAGAGUCGUUCUAUAGCGGUUUGCAGUAGAGUCUAGAAGCUUAGAGAAGAUUCUAGAAAACUGAAAAGUUUCCUUUUCAUAGGAGAAAAAAGAAACAUGAAGACAAAUGACAAUUUUCUAUUCGUCAAAGAAAAAGAAAAUUAUCCUUUCCUAAUAGUUUUAGGAUUAAAAAUUGGUCUCUGUUGUAUGACAUCAUCCUAUUUAGUAUAAAUAGGGAGGCUGAGGCUUGAAGAAAGUUCAGCACAAUCAAGAGAGAGAAUUCCUGACAAUUUAGUUUUAGCUUGCGAGAAAUAGAGAGUUAGAAACUUAAAGAGGACUAAGGGGUUUAGAGAGAGUUCUUGUUCUUGAUCGGUCUGUGAUUAAGGAACAAGACUUUGAGAGAAUAGAAAAUAGUGUUAAGGAGAAACCUUGUAAACAUAUUUUCUAUUAAUCGAAAGAGUUUUUGAGAAACCCUGAGUUACAUCGUGAACUAUUUCAAAUACUUAAUAGCUCUUGCAUUUACAAUUGGUAUCAGAGCAGUCACUUGUGAGGAUUGCAUAUAGGUGAGAUCUUUUGGAGAAGAUGGAGAGCUAUCAAGAACUGGUUAACAACACUAAAGUUGUUCUAGACGAUGGUAACUACGGAUUUUGAAAUCAAGAAUCAAAUCUGUGAGUCUUGGUUAAGUGGGAGGAACCAAUGAUCAAGAAUGAAGAUGGAAGUUUCACAGCCAAACCUGAAACAGGCUGGAUAGAAGAUGAGAAGAAAAAGUCUAAAUUUAAUGCUAGGGCUCUUACCGCCAUACACUUCAGUGUUGGAAGAAAAUAGUUUGGCUUGAUUCAGGAUUGUGAAAUCGCCAAAGAAGCUUGAGAUAUUCUGCAAACACAUUAUGAACGGACGAUUAAGGUUCAGACAUCAAGAAAAGAUAUGUUGGCUUCAAAGUUGAGAAUCUAAAGAUGGAUGAACAAGAAUCGAUCUCCGAUUUCAGUUCCAAACUAAGUUCGUUAGCUCAAGAAGCAUUGACUCUUGGAAAGAAGUAUAAUUAAAGACAAGAAGUUGGUCAAAAAAUUUCUGAGAUGCUUACCACCAAGGUUUAUGGCAUACAAAACAGCUCUAACCGUCUCCAGUAACACGGAUACGCUCAGCUUUGGAGAAGUGGUAGGAUUGCUUCAAGUACAUGAGCUAGAGUUAGGAGGAACUAAGAAACCUAAAGGAUUGGCAUUAACAUCUUGUGAAAAAAAAUCUCAAACAGAAGAAGAAGAUCCAUUGAGUUUGUUAGUUCGAAGGUUUGAUCGAGUACUAAAAAGGGCAGAACAAGGACAUGGACAGAAGAGGUUUGGAUCGUUUAAAAAGAAUUCUAAAGACAACAAACCAUCAAGAAAAGCUGACAUGCAAUGUCACGAAUGUAAAGAUAUGGACACUUUGAUUGUCAAUGUCCAACUGUCAAAAAACGUGAAACUAAAUGCUAGACAUGUAAAGGAAUGGGACAUGCUCAGGAUGAAUGUAUCAGUGAUUUGAAGAGCCGAAGAGAAAAAUCAAUGAUUGGUAUUGAAGAAGAAUCAGAUGCAGACAUUGAAGAAGAAGAAAUUCUAAACUAUGUUGCUUUAAUAGGCAUCACAGAGUUUGUAGAAGAGGAAGAAGACACUGAUUCUGAUUCUGAUGAAGAACAACAUGUUGAUUUUGCUGAAAGCUACAAGGAGGUAAGAGAAACAUUGACCAAACUCGGAAAAUAAAACUGGGAUCUAAUAAAAGAGAAGACUCGUCUUGAAACACUACUUGAAUUACUUCAAAAUCAGCUAGAAGAUGAAAAGAAGAUAAGUAAAGAAAGCUUGAGUUUGAUGAAAGAAAAACUGAGCUUAUCUGCUAAAGCCGAUAACUUAAAGAAGGAACUAAUUGCUGUAAGAAGAUCUCUACAGGACUAUAAACCAAACUUGAUCAACAACAUCGGAAAAUUCACAUGUUUGCUGGAACCAAACAACUUGAUCAAAUUCUGAGUUAUGGAAGGACAGAAAAAUCAAACAGAGGUCUAGGGUACACUGAUUAUGGAGAAUCAAGCACAAGACAAAUCAAGUUUGUGUCUGGAGGUAUAUCUCAUCAUACACAAGAGAAUACUAUAAAAAAUAGAUUUAACCACUUAACUAAGUCUAAAGACACACCUUCCAUUGAACAAUUUAACAAAUAUCAAAGAUAUAUAAGACCCAAAUUAGUCAAAUUUGGAAUGUAAAAAUCGAAGCUUUAUACAAAAGCAGAGAUAAAGAUAAAAAAAAUAAAAAAAACUUACCCCAUGAGAUAAAGUCGGAGACGAUUACUAAGCUCAACGAAAAGCUCAAACAUUUGAUCCAAAGUCGUGCGAAAAGCUAAAAAAAAAUCGACUUACCCCAUGUUUUUUUUUGUUGUUGAAAUUCGGCGGAAAAGUAAAGUCGUGCGUCUCUUUAAAUGGCCGUUGCGAAACGGAGCUUGCACUUUUUUAUUUUUCAAUACUCCCUUCGUUUUGAAUAAGCUGUCGUUUAAAGUUUUUAAAGUUUUUCACGCUUAUUAAAAAACAUUCAACUUUUCUGUUUUCCUUAAUUAAUGUAUUGUUUUAUGUAAUAUCAUUAUUUAUAAACUAAGAGAGUAUGGUAAAAUUAGAAAAUCUGUCAAAAAUAUGUAUUAAAAACCUAAAACAACAGCUAAUUUAAAACAAAAUUCAACUUCUAAAACGAUAACUAAUUUAAAACGGAGAAAGUAAUAUUUAUUUUCCUUUGAUUUAUUUAUUUUUUUGUCAAAACCUUUUUUACAAGAAAUUUAAUUAAGUACAAGUUAAAAACAAAUCAAUUGAGUUCUUGCAUUAUUCGGCCUAAAUAAUGAGAUUAAUCAAAGUAUCAAAUGUCCAAUUUUUGCGAAGAGUUUUUGUUUGUUGUUUGGAUAUUAAUUGUGUAUAUUAUUGAAAUCUCUUACUAAUAAAAGAGAUAGUUUGAAGCCUCUCAACCUAUCCACAUCAGCAAAAUCAAAAACUAUCUUAGAGGAAGCCACGUCAGCCUCAUGAAAACCCUUCAAAAAUCAGCAUAAAAUCUCUUAACUAGAACCAUGCCACAUCAGCACAUUGCUUCAAUUGUAGCGGAAGAGUCUUUUUCCUCCGUGAUCAUUCAUCUUCCUCACGUCUUUGUUUCCAUUUACUUCCUCCCAAACCCCUUUAAAAGCAGGACUAAAUCGGUGGAGAGAAACAUGUGCCCGUUUGGUAUCCUUCUCAAAGUGUCUACUCUUAAGCUCCAUGGUUGCCAACUGCCCAUGGCAAUACCUACGUCCACUCGCAUGGAACUUAAACACAGAGGCGUUAUCAGAAAUAGCCGGAGAUUCCGUUGAUUUCUCCUCCUCCAACAAUCCCUCGAAAUCAUCUUCAUCCCACUAAUCGAAAGAGAUCGACGAAGGUUUCACGGUCUGAGUUGUUAGAUCCAGAUAUGCUUGCCGCCAAUGAUGAUGCCGUUUAGGUCUGCUUCUCCGUCUCUUAUGUGCGUUUGCUCGAUUUGCUUUAGUACUUUGUUUGUAUAUUUCUGAAUGUUUUUGGAGAUUGAAAGAGAUGGAGAUAGCUGUUGUGCCGAGAUGCAAAAAAUGGGAGCUAUUGAAGGUUUGUGGCUCUUUCGUUUAUUUGCUUCUGUAUUUUCGAGAAAUUGAAUACGUUUGCUCAAGAUCUCUAUUUCGAUAUACUGGCACUCUAUUGAUUGUCUAUAUUACGUACACGAAAUUAAAGUUUUGUUGGUUUUAUGCCGUUGUAGAGAGUCUCCUUGACCGCUUAGAGGUACUCUUUAUUUGAUGUCUAAUAUCAUUAGGAGAUUUGAUAGCUCUUACCAUUUUUAGUGGUCUUUUUUUUAAAAAUUCUAAUGAAUGUAAGAAAACUUUAGCCUCUGUAUUUAUUUUUGAGUGUUAAGCAAUUACUACGUGGUUUUGGUUAUUUAUCUUUCUCUUGACUGUCCUGGGUUUGAUUUGUUUUAACCUUCUUUUCGAAUAAUAAUGUUGAUCGUCAUUUUGGCUUUGUUGCAUAGGUGGGAUGGAAACGCUUAUCAUGAUGGUGUUGAAUUCUUGUCUCUUCACUUUGUUUCAGGUCGGACACUCCUUGAUCUUCUCCAUCAAGCUUCAGGUCUGUUCCCUCUCUUCUCUCAAGUUCUCUGUUUUCAUUCUCUUCUUUACUCUCUGUUUUGUUUCUUUUGAUUUAGAGUGAAAGCAAGAGAAUGUUUUAGAAAAGAGAGAUAACAAUUGAAAACCACAAAUUCUUCUUGACAUAAUUAUAUUUUAACUACUCGCCAUAUUUUUCUUUUGUGAGCUUUUAAUUUGCCGUCACUCUGUUUCUCUUUGAUCAUUUCCUUGAUCAAAUUCUCUCCUUUGUAUGCAACUAAUUGCAGAAACUUGUGCAUAGUCUCUGUCUUUUUGCCCUCAUGGUGAUUUCAACUUAUCAUACAAAGGUUAGGUCUUGCUUCUUGCUUUCUUAGAUCAGUCCUUCCUUUUUUUUUUUCCACAAUUUUUCUUUUUGCCAAUUGUUUCAGAUCAUUGGUUGUCUGGUCUCUGUUGCUUGCUUCUUGCCCUUGAUCAUUGAUUCCAACUUUCUCUUCUUGUGCAGAAUUUAAUAAAGGUUCAUACUUCAACAGAUAGAUACCCCAUACGACACGAUUAAAUCAUGUAGAGAUGCUCAAGAGGAUUCACUCUAUAACUCCAGCGAAACAUCAUAUUUGUUUUCAGCUCAUAGGACUCAGCCUCUAGGAUGGAUAUGUUCAACAGGAUACUCACAGUAGCCCUUCAUCAAUGUAGAAGUAGAUUGAAUUUGUUUUCAAAUUGAUUUUAGAC
rnacentral:lncRNA from 1 species